UGAGAAUUGUUUCUCAUCCCCUUUGAGUGUUUUAUUGUGUUCUAUAUCACUUUCUCUCUUCAUCUCUCCAAGUUUAUCAUUGAGUAUAUUCUCUGUAACACCACUAAAGAAUCUCAUUACACUGACUCAGCCAUUGGAGGGUCUUGGAUAGAGACCAACUCCACCCCACUACCCUCAAAGUCUCAGUAAUUACAUUUGUUGCUUCUUUCAGCGU
rnacentral:misc_RNA from 1 species